UACGUAGGGGGCAAGCGUUGUCCGGAUUUAUUGGGCGUAAAGCGCACGUAGGCGGAUCUUUAAGUCAGGGGUGAAAUCCUGGAGCUCAACUCCAGAACUGCCUUUGAUACUGGAGAUCUCGAGUCCGGAAGAGGUGAGUGGAACUCCGAGUGUAGAGGUGAAAUUCGUAGAUAUUCGGAAGAACACCAGUGGCGAAGGCGGCUCACUGGUCCGGUACUGACGCUGAGGUGCGAAAGCGUGGGGAGCAAACAGG
rnacentral:rRNA from 1 species